rnacentral:rRNA from 1 species
AGGGCGCGUAGGCGGAUUAUCAAGUCUCUUGUGAAAUCUAAUGGCUUAACCAUUAAACUGCUUGGGAAACUGAUAGUCUAGAGUGAGGGAGAGGCAGAUGGAAUUGGUGGUGUAGGGGUAAAAUCCGUAGAUAUCACCAAGAAUACCCAUUGCGAAGGCGAUCUGCUGGAACUCAACUGACGCUAAGGCGCGAAAGCGUGGGGAGCAAACAGGAUUAGAUACCCUGGUAGUCCACGCCCUAAACGAUGUACACUAGUUGUUGGGAUGCUAGUCAUCUCAGUAAUGCAGCUAACGCAUUAAGUGUACCGCCUGGGGAGUACGGUCGCAAGAUUAAAACUCAAAGGAAUAGACGGGGACCCGCACAAGCGGUGGAGCAUGUGGUUUAAUUCGAAGAUACGCGAAGAACCUUACCUGGGCUUGAUAUCCUAAGAACCUUUUAGAGAUAAGAGGGUGCUAGCUUGCUAGAACUUAGAGACAGGUGCUGCACGGCUGUCGUCAGCUCGUGUCGUGAGAUGUUGGGUUAAGUCCCGCAACGAGCGCAACCCACGUAUUUAGUUGCUAACGGUUCGGCCGAGCACUCUAAAUAGACUGCCUUCGUAAGGAGGAGGAAGGUGUGGACGACGUCAAGUCAUCAUGGCCCUUAUGCCCAGGGCGACACACGUGCUACAAUGGCAUAUACAAUGAGACGCAAUACCGCGAGGUGGAGCAAAUCUAUAAAAUAUGUCCCAGUUCGGAUUGUUCUCUGCAACUCGAGAGCAUGAAGCCGGAAUCGCUAGUAAUCGUAGAUCAGCCAUGCUACGGUGAAUACGUUCCCGGGUCUUGUACAC